CAGUCGAGGGGUAUGGUUCUUCGGAACCAGAGACCGGCGCACGGGUGCGUAACGCGUAUGCAAUCUACCUUUCACAGAGGGAUAGCCCAGAGAAAUUUGGAUUAAUACCUCAUAGUAUAACGACCUGGCAUCAGGAUGUUAUUAAAGUCACAACGGUGAAAGAUGAGCAUGCGUCCCAUUAGCUAGUUGGUAAGGUAACGGCUUACCAAGGCUACGAUGGGUAGGGGUCCUGAGAGGGAGAUCCCCCACACUGGUACUGAGACACGGACCAGACUCCUACGGGAGGCAGCAGUGAGGAAUAUUGGACAAUGGGCGCAAGCCUGAUCCAGCCAUGCCGCGUGCAGGAUGACGGUCCUAUGGAUUGUAAACUGCUUUUAUACGAGAAGAAACACUCCUUCGUGAAGGAGCUUGACGGUAUCGUAAGAAUAAGGAUCGGCUAACUCCGUGCCAGCAGCCGCGGUAAUACGGAGGAUCCAAGCGUUAUCCGGAAUCAUUGGGUUUAAAGGGUCCGUAGGCGGUUUAAUAAGUCAGUGGUGAAAGCCCAUCGCUCAACGGUGGAACGGCCAUUGAUACUGUUAGACUUGAAUUAUUAGGAAGUAACUAGAAUAUGUAGUGUAGCGGUGAAAUGCUUAGAGAUUACAUGGAAUACCAAUUGCGAAGGCAGGUUACUACUAAUGGAUUGACGCUGAUGGACGAAAGCGUGGGUAGCGAACAGGAUUAGAUACCCUGGUAGUCCACGCCGUAAACGAUGGAUACUAGCUGUUGGGAGCAAUCUCAGUGGCUAAGCGAAAGUGAUAAGU
rnacentral:rRNA from 1 species